rnacentral:rRNA from 1 species
UGGGGAAUUUUGGACAAUGGGCGAAAGCCUGAUCCAGCAAUGCCGCGUGUGUGAAGAAGGCCUUCGGGCUGUAAAGCACUUUUGUCCGGAAAGAAAUCCUUGGCUCUAAUACAGUCGGGGGAUGACGGUACCGGAAGAAUAAGCACCGGCUAACUACGUGCCAGCAGCCGCGGUAAUACGUAGGGUGCAAGCGUUAAUCGGAAUUACUGGGCGUAAAGCGUGCGCAGGCGGUUUGCUAAGACCGAUGUGAAAUCCCCGGGCUCAACCUGGGAACUGCAUUGGUGACUGGCAGGCUAGAGUAUGGCAGAGGGGGGUAGAAUUCCACGUGUAGCAGUGAAAUGCGUAGAGAUGUGGAGGAAUACCGAUGGCGAAGGCAGCCCCCUGGGCCAAUACUGACGCUCAUGCACGAAAGCGUGGGGAGCAAAACAGGAUUAGAUACCCUGGUAGUCCACGCCCUAAACGAUGUCAACUAGUUGUUGGGGAUUCAUUUCCUUAGUAACGUAGCUAACGCGUGAAGUUGACCGCCUGGGGAGUAC